GCUCCCUUAGCUCAGUUGGCUAGAGCACCUGACUCUUAAUCAGGGUGCCCAGGGUUCGAAUCCCUGAGGGAGCACCA
rnacentral:tRNA from 2 species